rnacentral:tRNA from 1 species
GCCGGUUAGCUCAGUUGGUAGAGCAUCAGACUUUUAAUCUGAGGGCCAUGGGUUCGAGUCCCAUAUCGGGCU